rnacentral:misc_RNA from 1 species
UUUUUUUUUUUUUUUUUUUUGCCCAAAAAUAAAAAAACGCUUUUUUGGGAUGAGACAUAAAUAUAUAAGUAUUAUAUAUUUAUGUGUUAAAUACACAGUGGACCAAGUAUAGAAGGGGCAGGCAAGUUGAUCACUGUACUCUACAAGGCACAUCAACCAAUAGUGUAAGAAGGGGCAGGCAAGUUGAUCACUGUACUCUUGAUCUUCGUCAUCAUAUUGAUGCUGUUAGUUAUUCCCUGUGAGCCUAUUCCACUGUCCUUCAGACCCUGAAAUGGAAAAUGAUCAGGUCCACGAGCUGGUGCUGAAUUGAUCUGCACUGUUCCUGUCUCCAUAGCAUCACUGAUCAAAAUUGCUUUGUUUAUAUCUCUUGUAAAGACACAUCCCUGAAGACCAUAAUUGCUAGCAUUACAGUGGUGGAUUCCCUCUUCAACAGAGUUUAUCCUUAUAACUGGUAAAACUGGACCAAAAGGCUCCUCCCAGGCUAUCCUCAUGUCAGGUCGAACGUUAUCUAACAACAAUGGCCAUAUGAGAUUGCCCUCUCUUAUGUACUCCUGACAGAAUGUUGCUCCUUUUUGCUUGGCAUCCAUUACCAACCCUUCAAUAAAGUUUGCUGAGGAUUCUGUAACAACUGGAGUAAUAUCACAGUCGUCCUCAGGUGGUCCAACUGUCAAUUUUGUGACUUUGGCUUUAACUUUCUCGACAAGAAUAUCAGCAACCGAUUCAAUAACUAGAACAACCUUGACAGCCGUACACCUUUGACCGCUGUAUGAGAAGCCUCCUUUAACAAUAUUUGCGGCAGCUAAAUCCAAAUCAGCAUCUUCUAAAAUGAUACAAGCGUCUUUG